rnacentral:lncRNA from 1 species
UAUAUAGCACCUACGAAAACGUAUCCAACUCCUAAUAUAAUUAAGAUUCUGACUUAAUUAAUAUUUAAAUCUAUUUUAACUUAUCUCUAAUAGAUUUAAAUAUUAAUUCUAAUUCAGUUAGAUUCAUACUCUAAUUAAUAUUUAAAUUUUAAUUUAUCUCCAACAGAUUUAAAUAUUAAUUCUUAUCCAACUAAGAUUCAACAACAAAUCUAACCAAAUCCUAACAUUUAGUCAGAGAAAAAGCGAAGCCGG